rnacentral:rRNA from 1 species
GUCGAGCGGUAGCACAGAGAGCUUGCUCUCGGGUGACGAGCGGCGGACGGGUGAGUAAUGUCUGGGAAACUGCCUGAUGGAGGGGGAUAACUACUGGAAACGGUAGCUAAUACCGCAUAACGUCGCAAGACCAAAGUGGGGGACCUUCGGGCCUCAUGCCAUCAGAUGUGCCCAGAUGGGAUUAGCUAGUAGGUGGGGUAACGGCUCACCUAGGCGACGAUCCCUAGCUGGUCUGAGAGGAUGACCAGCCACACUGGAACUGAGACACGGUCCAGACUCCUACGGGAGGCAGCAGUGGGGAAUAUUGCACAAUGGGCGCAAGCCUGAUGCAGCCAUGCCGCGUGUAUGAAGAAGGCCUUCGGGUUGUAAAGUACUUUCAGCGGGGAGGAAGGCGAUAAGGUUAAUAACCUUGUCGAUUGACGUUACCCGCAGAAGAAGCACCGGCUAACUCCGUGCCAGCAGCCGCGGUAAUACGGAGGGUGCAAGCGUUAAUCGGAAUUACUGGGCGUAAAGCGCACGCAGGCGGUCUGUCAAGUCGGAUGUGAAAUCCCCGGGCUCAACCUGGGAACUGCAUUCGAAACUGGCAGGCUAGAGUCUUGUAGAGGGGGGUAGAAUUCCAGGUGUAGCGGUGAAAUGCGUAGAGAUCUGGAGGAAUACCGGUGGCGAAGGCGGCCCCCUGGACAAAGACUGACGCUCAGGUGCGAAAGCGUGUGGAGCAAACAGGAUUAGAUACCCUGGUAGUCCACGCCGUAAACGAUGUCGAUAUGGAGGUUGUGCCCUUGAGGCGUGGCUUCCGGAGCUAACGCGUUAGAUCGACCGCCUGGGGAGUACUGCCGCAAGGUUAGAACUCAUAUGAAUUGACUGAGGCGCGCACAAGCGGUGGAGCAUGUGGUUUAAUU